UACGUAGGGUCCGAGCGUUGUCCGGAAUUAUUGGGCGUAAAGGGCUCGUAGGCGGUUCGUCACGUCGGGAGUGAAAACUCGGAGCUUAACUCCGAGCCUGCUUCCGAUACGGGCAGACUAGAGGUAGGCAGGGGAGAGCGGAACUCCUGGUGUAGCGGUGGAAUGCGCAGAUAUCAGGAAGAACACCGGUGGCGAAGGCGGGUCUCUGGGCCAUUACUGACGCUGAGGAGCGAAAGCGUGGGGAGCGAACAGG
rnacentral:rRNA from 1 species